AUGGAUGCCUAUGCUUUCGCAUACUUGCCUCUGUUGCUGGAGGUAUAUCAUUCCAAUAUUCAUACUAUAGAAGUCGUUGUCAGGGAGUGCGAGAUGGACGGCGCAGUGUCCAGCGAUGGCAACAGCAUCACGGGAGCUGUGUUCACCCAGUUUGAGGUGACGUCGAGGAGAUGUCGACGAACUCCGUGGAUGAGCGGUGGUCAUGAGAGUUUGCCGAGGAAGGCCGACUCGAUCAUGGAGUUGCUAUCGCUGCAGAAGGCGACGCUAGCAACAGAGACAGCCAUCCAUUAG
rnacentral:rRNA from 1 species